rnacentral:rRNA from 1 species
UACGGAGGGUGCAAGCGUUAUCCGGAUUCACUGGGUUUAAAGGGUGCGUAGGCGGGUUGGUAAGUUCGUGGUGAAAUCUCCAAGCUUAACUUGGAAACUGCCGUGGAUACUAUCAAUCUUGAAUAUAGUGGAGGUGAGCGGAAUAUGUCAUGUAGCGGUGAAAUGCUUAGAUAUGACAUAGAACACCCAUUGCGAAGGCAGCUCGCUACACUAUUAUUGACGCUGAGGCACGAAAGCGUGGGGAUCAAACAGG